rnacentral:rRNA from 1 species
UACGGAGGGUGCAAGCGUUAUCCGGAUUCACUGGGUUUAAAGGGUGCGUAGGUGGCUAUUUAAGUCAGUGGUGAAAGCCCGCGGCUCAACCGUGGAAUUGCCAUUGAAACUGAAUAGCUUGAGUACAGUUGAAGUGGGCGGAAUACAUCAUGUAGCGGUGAAAUGCUUAGAUAUGAUGUAGAACACCGAUUGCGAAGGCAGCUCACUAAAGCUGUAACUGACACUGAGGCACGAAAAGCGUGGGGUAGCGAACA